rnacentral:pre_miRNA from 1 species
AUGUUACUCCCUCCAUCCCAAAAUUCUUGUCUUAGAUUUUUCUAGAUACAGAUGUAUCUAAUACUAAAACGUGACUUGAUACAUCUGUAUCUAGACAAAUCUAAGACGAGAAUUUUGGGACGGAGGGAGUACUUC